rnacentral:rRNA from 1 species
AUUGAACGCUGGCGGCAGGCCUAACACAUGCAAGUCGAGCGGAUGAAGGGAGCUUGCUCCUGGAUUCAGCGGCGGACGGGUGAGUAAUGCCUAGGAAUCUGCCUGGUAGUGGGGGAUAACGUCCGGAAACGGGCGCUAAUACCGCAUACGUCCUGAGGGAGAAAGUGGGGGAUCUUCGGACCUCACGCUAUCAGAUGAGCCUAGGUCGGAUUAGCUAGUUGGUGGGGUAAAGGCCUACCAAGGCGACGAUCCGUAACUGGUCUGAGAGGGUGAUCAGUCACACUGGAACUGAGACACGGUCCAGACUCCUACGGGAGGCAGCAGUGGGGAAUAUUGGGCGAUGGGCGAAAGCCUGAUCCAGCCAUGCCGCGUGUGUGAAGAAGGUCUUCGGAUUGUAAAGCACUUUAGGUUGGGAGGAAGGGCAGUAAGUUAAUACCUUGCUGUUUUGACGUUACCAACAGAAUAAGCACCGGCUAACUUCGUG